rnacentral:rRNA from 1 species
CAGUCGCCACGGUAAUACGAAGGGUGCAAGCGUUAAUCGGAAUUACUGGGCGUAAAGCGUGCGUAGGCGGUGAGUUAAGUCUGCUGUGAAAUCCCCGGGCUCAACCUGGGAAUGGCAGUGGAUACUGGCUCGCUAGAGUGUGUCAGAGGAUGGUGGAAUUCCCGGUGUAGCGGUGAAAUGCGUAGAGAUCGGGAGGAACAUCAGUGGCGAAGGCGGCCAUCUGGAACAACACUGACGCUGAGGCACGAAAGCGUGGGGAGCAAACAGGAUUAGAUACCCCAGUAGUCCCUGUCUCUUAUAC